rnacentral:rRNA from 1 species
AAUAUUGGACAAUGGGCGAAAGCCUGAUCCAGCAACGCCGCGUGCGCGAUGACGGCCUUCGGGUUGUAAAGCGCUUUUAGGAGAGAUGAGAAAGGACAGUAUCUCCAGAAUAAGCCUCGGCGAACUACGUGCCAGCAGCCGCGGUAAAACGUAGGAGGCAAGCGUUAUCCGGAUUUAUUGGGCGUAAAGCGUGUGCAGGCGGUUUGGCAAGUUGGAUGUGAAAGCUCCCGGCUUAACUGGGAGAGGUCGUUCAAAACUGCCAGACUAGAGAAUGGAAGAGGGAGGUGGAAUUCCGGGUGUAGUGGUGAAAUGCGUAGAUAUCCGGAGGAACACCAGUGGCGAAAGCGGCCUCCUAGGCCAUUUCUGACGCUAAGACACGAAAGCGAGGGUAGCAAACGG